rfam:Triticum aestivum genome assembly, contig: Triticum_aestivum_CS42_TGACv1_scaffold_221584_3B
UUAUUACUCCCUCCGUCCGGAAAUACUUGUCAUUAAAAUGGACAAAAAGGGAUGUAUCUAGAUGUAUUUUAGUUCUAGAUACAUUAUUUUUGUUCAUUUUAAUAACAAGUAUUUCCGGACGGAUGGAGUACUUU